AGUGAACGCUGGCGGUAGGCCUAACACAUGCAAGUCGAACGGCAGCACAGUAAGAGCUUGCUCUUACGGGUGGCGAGUGGCGGACGGGUGAGGAAUACAUCGGAAUCUACUUUUUCGUGGGGGAUAACGUAGGGAAACUUACGCUAAUACCGCAUACGACCUACGGGUGAAAGCAGGGGAUCUUCGGACCUUGCGCGAUUGAAUGAGCCGAUGUCGGAUUAGCUAGUUGGCGGGGUAAAGGCCCACCAAGGCGACGAUCCGUAGCUGGUCUGAGAGGAUGAUCAGCCACACUGGAACUGAGACACGGUCCAGACUCCGACGGGAGGCAGCAGUGGGGAAUAUUGGACAAUGGGCGCAAGCCUGAUCCAGCCAUACCGCGUGGGUGAAGAAGGCCUUCGGGUUGUAAAGCCCUUUUGUUGGGAAAGAAAAGCAGCAGGUUAAUACCCCGCUGUUCUGACGGGACCCAAAGAAUAAGCACCGGCUAACUUCGU
rnacentral:rRNA from 1 species